UCUUCAGAAUCUGGGUCUGCAAGCCUGUGC
rnacentral:piRNA from 1 species